CCACGUUCGGACUGUAGUCUGCAACCCGACUACACGAAGCUGGAAUCGCUAGUAAUCGCGAAUCAGAAUGUCGCGGUGAAUACGUUCCCGGGUCUUGUACACACCGCCCGUCACACCAUGGGAGUCGGGAAUGCCCGAAGCCUGUGAGCUAACAGUAAUGAGGCAGCAGUCGAAGGUAGAGCCAAUGAUUGGGGUGAAGUCGUAACAAGGUACC
rnacentral:rRNA from 1 species